GUCUACGGCCACGCCACCCUGAACAAGUCCGAUCCCAUCUGAUCUCGGAAGCUAAGCAGGGUUGGGCCAGGGUUGGAUGGGAGACCACCUAGGACCACCAGGUGCUGUAGGCA
rnacentral:rRNA from 1 species